UGCCUCUCAUAUAUAAAUAGGUUGUAAUUUCUAUUGUGAAAUACAAACAACAAAUAUUAUCCUUCUACAGUAAGAUAAAAGGAGAAUAGCCAUACAAUGCCUCAAAUGGAGACAUUUUAAUGGAACUGUGGAAAGUAGCAUUAUACCACCAUUUAGCUAAGCUAAUCCAUUUAAACCAGGAGGUAGGCUGAGAGUGGCAAAUGCAUCUGAGAUAAGCUUCUAAAAUUGGUUAAGCCUCUCUGUUUGCCCAUCUAUUUGAGGGUGAUAGACUGUGCUAAAAAAAAGGUGAUACCUAUGCAUUUAAAAAGAUCCUUCCAAAAUAGACUCGUAAAAACCUUACCCCUAUCAAAAACAAUGGAUUCAGGUGCUCCAUGUAGUUGCUCCAUGUAGUUUAAUACAUGAUCCACGAAAAAUUUAAAUACAAUGGAUGUUGUAAAGGGAUGAGAGAGAGGAAUGACGUACCCAUACUUUGUUAAUUUGCACACUACCAUCAAAAUAGUAUCCUUACCCUCAGAUUUAGGAAGACCUUCAAUAAAAUCCAUAGAGAUACGUUACCAGGCUUGAUUGGGAAUAAAAAGGAGCUGUACCAAACCAGGACUUGCUAUGUUCUCAUGUUUGCAUCCAACACAAGCGUUACAGCCUUGAAUCCAUUUUACAACAUCGGUAAGCAUUCCAAGCCAAUAAAAGUGUCUCUUCAGCCUGAUGUGAAUGACCACCACCCAUAGGAGAAUCAUGAUACAAUUCCAAUAGUUGGUACCUGAGGCUUGUAAUUGUUCCUAAAUAAAGCCUGCCCAAAUGGUACAGUAAACCAUUUUUUAAUUGAAAUCCAAACUAAGUACUAGCAUCUACCGAAAGUUGCCUAAUCAGCUCAACAGCUUUGUCAUCCCCUUCGUAACUGUGAGAAAUUGCAGUCAUCCAUUUAGGAAUGAUAAAGGAAUGCAGCACAAAGGAGGUAAGAGAUACUUCACUAGGCUACCUGGAUAAGGCAUCAGCAAUUUUAUUUUCCACUCUUUUUCAAUAAAUAAUCUUAUAAUCCAAACCCAGAAGUUUAUAAAUCCCUUUAUGUGGUAACUGUGUGUGCAAUCUCUAUUCUAAGGGAAAUUUGAUACUCUCAUGAUCAGUUUUUAUAAAUAACCAUCCUUGCUCCAAAUAAUAUUGCCAUUUCCCUACAGCAAAGGAGAUUGCAAGAAGCUCCUUGUCAUAUACUGAUAGUCCUUGAUUUCUAGGACCAAAUGCCUUAGAAAUAAAGGCAAUAAGGUGGCUUUCUUGCCGGAGGACUGGACCCAUUCCCUAAUUACUUGCAUCUGUUUCAAUGGAAAAGGUUAAGAAAAAAGUAGGCAUAGCCAAUACAGGGGCUUUUGUCAUGGCUUUUCUCAGUGUAACAAAAGCUUGCUGAGCUGAGAAAAACCAUUGGAAAGCAUCCUUCUUAAGUAAGUCUGUCAAAGGUUUUGCUAAAAGGCUUUGCUAUUAUGCCAUAGUGGAAGAUGAAUUUUUGUAGUACCUUUGUUAGCCUUAAGAAGCUUCUCAACUCUUUGACUGAAGGUGGAACUGGCCAAUUAAUUAUAACUUCUACAUUCUUUGGGUUUGUGGCUACCUCCUCCUUGGUGAUUACAUGUCUCAAAUAUUCUAAUUUACUUUGAAGGAAAGAACAUUUGGACUAUUUGGCAAAUAAUUGUUGAUUCUGCAAUACUUGAAAAACAACUUCUAGGUGCUUCAAAUAAGAGGACAAAUCAAGGCGGUAAACUAGAAUAUCAUAAAAAAAAAAAAAAACAAUACAAACUUCCUUCUGAGAAAGGGCUUGAAACUCUCAUUCAUUAAAGAUUGGAAUGAAAGAUUGGAAAGUGACAGGGGCAUUAGUGAGGCCAAAGAGCAUUACAGUUAAUUCAUAAUGAUCUUGAUGAGUUCUAAAGGCAGUUUUAGGGAUGUAAAAGUAUCCAUCCUUAUUUGGUGGUAACCAACCUUGAGAUCAAACUUGGAAAACACAACUGCCCCGUAUAACUCAUCCAAGAGAUCUUUAAUUAUAGGUAUAGGAAAUUUAUCCUUGAUAGUCAUCUCAUUGAGUUUUCUAUAAUCCACACAAAACCUCCAUAUCUCAUCCUUUUGUUUGGCUAACAAGUCAGGGGAAGCAUAGGAGCUUGUACUGGGCUAUAUAAUAAAAGAGGCUAAUAUUUCUGAAACAAGUUUUUCAAUCUCUGCUUUUUGAUAGUGGGGUAUCUGUAAGGUCUGAUAUUGACAGGAGAAGCAACAGGUUGGAGAGAUAAUGGUAUGAUUAUGGCUUCUAAAAGAGGGUAGAGUGUGGGACUCUUGAAAGACAAUAUCAUAUUUCUAGAAUAAGGCUUCUAGUGCAGAGUGUUUCUGGUCAGUUUCAAUGAUGGAGUAGGGAUUGGAAUGAGUGAAAUUGAUUACAGAAAUCAGAAAUAAGGAAGAGUGAAAAUGCUUCCCCUGCUUGUAUAUUAAUUCAUGAACUUUUUCACAGUGAACUAGCAUGGCAACAGCCACAGAAUCUACCAUCCCUUACAGAGUCACCACCUAUCCCUCCCUUUUGAAUGUGAUUUUGGAGGAUUCAAAUCAAACAAAAUGGGAUUGAAGCUCCUCAUUCAGUCCACUCUUAAAAUUAUAUCAAAUCCCCUAUGUCCAAUGCCCUGAGAUCGAAACAAAAUUAUUGCUUUUGAACCUUCCAACCAAAAGAUUGACACAGAUGCCUGCAGGUUAUUUUUCUUCCAUUUGCCAUAGUGAUAGCAACAGAGGUAAUUUGAAUGAGAGGCAACUCUAAGUCAUCUACCACCUUCUUAUCUACGAAUAUACUGGUACUUUCACUAUCUGCCAAGAUGGCUAAUUGUCUAUUCUUAUGAGCCCCUAACAUUUUAAUGGUUUCCACCCCCUGGCUUCCUUCUACUACAUGAAUAGACAAGGUUGUUUCCUCAAAUUGUUCCCAUUGUUCCAUUACUUCUGGAGCCUCAUGCCACACUUCUUCUCCAUUAUCACUAACCCUCCCUCAUGUACUCCUAUAACAGUUUUGAAUUUGCGCUGAUGCCCUAAAAAAUACUUUUCUCCAUAUUUGUAAUAAGGUUUAAAUGUUUCUAUUACGUGGUAAAGUAGUGUGAGAGGUGGCUAGUGUUUGCACAUUCAUAGGUGUAUUUGUGGUGGUCUGGACCUUUGAUUGAAAUGAGAUGGUUCCUAAUUGGAUGAAGCAUCUAAGGUGAGUGGCUUAGGUAGGUAUGGGUGUGUUUGGCUGAACUGAUUGGGCUUGUUAGUGUUUGAGUAGGAAUUUGCUGAAGAGGUUUGUGUUUGGUAAUUACUUCUAAAGGUGUUGGAAGAAGAAUAAGGCUUAUAGGGAGGUCUAGGCUUCUUAGUACUCUCAAACAACUGCUCUUGCAACACCUGGCUACCACAAAGGCUUGGUACAAACUUGCAGGUUUAAUCAUUCUCACUGUGGGUCUGAUAUCAUCCCUCAACCCAUGAAUGCUGACAGAAAGUAUGCCUCAGUCAACUUAGGCAUUUUCACCCUCAACCCUUCAAAUACAUUCCAGUAUUCUACCACAGAAUUCUCUUGUCUAAAUCUCAUGAAUUUCUCCACAAUAUCCUCAAUGUACCCUGCUCCCCAAACCUGUUAUAAAGACCCCUGACAAACUCUUCUUAGAAAUUGGAUCCAAUCUUAAUCUAAUUUUUUAAAACCACACAUCAGCUCUUUCAAUCAAAAAUAGCCCAACAAUAUUCACCUUCUAAUCCCUCGAUACACAAUACACUUCAAAGUACUUCUCACACCUUCUAAUCCAAAAUCUUAGAUCAAUCCCUUCAAAUGCAAUUAAUUCAAUUUUAGGCAAUAAUUUAGACAUACCUUCCAAAUCUUUGUAGAUCCGAGGCCCUUCUUCUCUGGAAUGGUUAAGAUUCCCCUACUCCCGCUAUUUUUACCACUUCCAGAUGAUGUAUCCCCUUCCACUUAGGUCCCUUUUCCUUUAUCCCCAACUAGAUGCACCAAUAAGGAGCGUAAUUCACCCAGAAUAGCAUCCUUGUUUUCUUUCGCAGAUUGCUUAAAUUCAUUUCACAAAUUACCACUGAACUUCUCGACAAUCGUUUUAGAAUCCUCUUGAAGAGUUUUGAGUUGCUCCUCCAAUUCCACAUUCUUUAUAGCAUCGAAACUCACUACCACUGAUGAUCUCAUCAUUUGUCGCAGUGGAAAACACUCUGUCGACUCUCAACCACAAACCUAAUAGGCUCUGAUACCAAUUGUUAAGGAAGAAAUCCUCAACAAGAAAUUAGAAAAG
rnacentral:lncRNA from 1 species